rnacentral:misc_RNA from 1 species
AGCAGCCGCGGUAAUUCCAGCUCCAAUAGCGUAUAUUAAAGUUGUUGCAGUUAAAAAGCUCGUAGUUGAAUUUCGGGAUCAAUAUGUUGGUCGUGCCUCGGUACGUACUAGCUUAUUGGUUUCUCCUUUCUGAAGAACCAUGAUGUCAUUUAUUUGGUGUCGUGGGGAAUCAGGACUGUUACUUUGAAAAAAUUAGAGUGUUUAAAGCAGGCUCACGCUUGAAUACAUUAGCAUGGAAUAAUGAAAUAGGACGUUUGAUUCUAUUUUGUUGGUUUCUAGGAUCGACGUAAUGAUUAAUAGGGAUAGUUGGGGGCAUUAGUAUUCAAUUGUCAGAGGUGAAAUUCUUGGAUUUAUUGAAGACUAACUACUGCGAAAGCAUUUGCCAAGGAUGUUUUCAUUAAUCAAGAACGAAAGUUAGGGGAUCGAAGACGAUCAGAUACCGUCGUAGUCUUAACCAUAAACUAUGCCGACUAGGGAUCGGAUGAUGUUAAUUUUUUAAUGACUCAUUC